rnacentral:rRNA from 1 species
AAUAGAUACCCGGGUAGUCCACGCCGUAAACGAUGCAUGCUAGCUGUUACCAGUAUCGACCCUGGUAGUAGCGAAGCUAACGCGUUAAGCAUGCCGCCUGGGGAGUACGGUCGCAAGAUUAAAACUCAAAGGAAUUGACGGGGACCCGCACAAGCGGUGGAGCGUGUUGUUUAAUUCGAUGGUAAGCGAAGAACCUUACCAGGGCUUGACAUCCUGCAAAGGUCUUCGAAAGAAGACUGUGCCUUUUGGAAUGCAGUGACAGGUGUUGCAUGGCCGUCGUCAGCUCGUGUCGUGAGAUGUUUGGUUAAGUCCAUCAACGAGCGCAACCCUUAUAGUUAGUUGGAUUUCUCUAGCUAGACUGCCUCGGCAACGGGGAGGAAGGAGGGGAUGAUGUCAGGUCAGUAUUACCCUUACGUCCUGGGCUACAAACACGCUACAAUGGCCGGUACAAAGGGCAGCCAAGUCGCGAGACGGAGCAAAUCCCAUCAAAGCCGGUCCCAGUUCGGAUUGCAGGCUGAAACUCG